AGAAAAUGUCACGGGACAACCCACCAAUCAAACUGCAGGGUAUGAACAGAUUGUUCAUUUAACCAACUGCUCAGUGCCUCUAGUACCAAAAAAUGGAGGAUUGGUGUGUGUUUAUUUUGACAACAUCUUUUACUGCAAACCAAUGUGUAAUCAGGGCUAUGAUUUCUCUUUUUUGAGGAGGAGCAGACUAUAUGAGGAAUGCGGAAUUAAAACUGCAUUCACUUGGACUACACAGUAUAUUGGUGGUUCUCGGCUAGCAGAAUGCAUUGCUUCUGAUGUCCUGGUGAGCGGACAGCCAUCGGCCUAUUUUAGCACAGAAAACUGUGAAGAAGCUGUUUCUCACAAGA